rnacentral:tRNA from 1 species
GCGGGCGUUGCAAAAUGGUAUUGCCACAGCCUUCCAAGCUGUUGUUACGGGUUCGAUUCCCGUCGCCCGCUCUA